GUUCACAAUCAUUUGCACAGUCCACAGAUUCCGCAGCCGAGGAUGAAUGUUUUAACGAUGCUACCCAAGCCUGUAUCCCUGGGCACAUGAAGAGGGACCAGUGAGCCGGUGAGAAUGAAUGGUUCGUCCUCAGACCAAGUUCCCCUCAUCCAGUAGCUGAUCAAGAAAUCAGUCCAUUUCCUGAGCAGUUUGCGCCUAACCUGUGGGUGGUUCCCUGCAAAGUCAGCGGCUCCGGAUCCACUUGGGAGCUUUCCCCAGACCCGAGAGCGCAGAGCGUCCCCCGAGCCUGCGAGGGAGGUGAACCCCGCGGAGUCACUGCAGGAGGGUGAUGUUCCCCGCGGGAGCCGACCCGAGCAGGACGAUGGGCCUCCACACAGGACCGCCGAGCCUGUGACCGGGAAGGAGCAGGCUGAGCGCGACCCUGGUAGACCUCGGCGGGACGCGAGCCCUCGCCCGGUGACUCCUUCGAAACUUGGAAGAGGCGGGGGUCUCCAACAGUUUCCUGGACCUCCUAUCAAGAAUGCAGAAGUUGUUCUUUUUGGCUAUUAAACCUUGAUGAGGACCAGAUGGAGAAGGGAGUUGCAUUGGAGGAUUGGUGGUGAUCUGUGAUUCAAGGUUGCCUGACAGUCCAGGGCCCCACUUCGCCCAUAAAGCCUUUAGCAUUGUCUUCUGAAAGUGAUCCAAGCCCUGUACAUUCACAGAAUUAAUAUAAAUGGCACGGUCGUGAAUUUACUACAUUGACAGGAAUUCAGACCUCAGUCAUAGGACAGACAGUAAGAGAGCUUGUAGCCUUGAUGUCAUGUUGUAAUUUGAAGUAGGAAAGUUACUAAUUAUAAAUUUAUAAAAAGCUCCCCUCACUGUGUGUACUGCUGCUGCUACAAGCAGGCUUUUAUUUUGAAAGGAUUUAAUUCGUUUACUUUUGCUACUCUUACCAAGUCCUCAUCUCAGUCUUCAAGUCUCAAUCCUGGAGCAUCUGGCAUAUGACCAAAUAAAAGAUGGCAUGCUGGUAAGAGCUCACAUCAGUCCAAACACAACUUGACUCUUUUCAUUCUUUUCUUAGCAAACUUUUAAGCCUCAGGUGAAGCCUCUGGUAAACAUGAGCCCUUGCUUCCCACCACAUGGAAGAAAGCAGAGAGCACCCUAUCAGAAGGAGUAAAUUGUGAUGCACACACACCUGUCUUGCAUGUAGUUUCACAAUGCCUAUUCAUCUUCAGCCCAGACACGGUGUUAAACUGGACUUUUAAAAUAGUGAUUCUUAACUUUAAUGGCUCGCCUUCAGAAUAUUGGCUUUAGCUCCUGAAAACCAAUGGACCAGUUCCCAGUAGAAGUUCAUGGGGAAGGAGUGAUACUGCAUUCCGGCACAUGAAGAAUGUGUUUCUACAUUACAUGUGUAAUGCACUCUUGAAAAGCAUGCUGAGUAUUGAGUGGAACCUGUUACAAGUAAUGGCAUUAUCACAAACAUUUGCAAAAAGAACUUAAUUUGAGAAGAAAGGAAUUAGGAGAUUAUUAUAUUUUCAUAAAAGAAUGACAAAUAUUCACUAUGUUAAACAUUAGCACUUCAACAACACAUCUUUUUGUUCCCAACUCACUAUAGAUGCCUUUUUGAAGAGGAAACCUAUAAUCUUUUUAAAAAUUAUUUUAUGUACUUAUUUGAGGGGGGGGGAGGGAGAAAAUGGCAUGCCAGAGCCUCCAACCAGUGCAAGUGAAUUCCAGACGCGUGAACCAAUUUGUGCAUCUAGCUCAUGCAGUCCUGGGAAAUCAAACCUGGAUCCUUUGGCUUUGCAAGCAAGUGCCUUAACCACUAAGCCAUCUGUCCAGCCAGAAACCUAUAUUCUUGAAUGCUCAAAGAUCGUAAUGUCCAUACUUACCUGUCAGGAGUGACACUAUGAUCAUGAAGGUGAUUAUCACAGGGCAAGGAUUAUCCAGUGCACUCCAGAUGUGCUGACCCCUGCAGUUUCCCCAAAUGCGGGAAACUGGACUGCAUAAUUUGUGGUAGUGGGGAACUAUGUUCUUGCUCUCUUUAAAAAAAGAAAAAGAAGAAAAAGAGGUCAUACUGUUCAUGUGUAUUUAUCAUCUGGAAAUCUAUGUGUAAACAGAAGAAAAUGCAUUUCUCACACAUUUCAUGUGAAAGUGGCACCCUGGUUGGUGGCCAAGGCUAGAAUGCAAAGCCUUGUCUGUGGGUAGUCUGUCUCCUUUCUUAGGAGCACAGACUGUCAAUUAUCUGACCAACACCCAAUCUUUGACCCCUUCAUUCCUUCUGGGUCUCUAGCCUCCAAAUUUACUGGGGUGACCACCUUCCCAUGUCCCCUUGGCAUGCUCAGCAGGUGACUAUUGCUUAGUCUAAUACAGUCCUCACCAUUUAUCCCUGUCAUUAGCUUAGUGUGGACAGGUCAUGUAACACUUGCUACUGACAAGAACAAAUACAUGUUCUUUGGGGCUGAGAACAGAGGUUCACAAAGGUUUUCUUUUGUGAUAUAAAGGUGCAUAAAGAGAAAAUGGCUCUUUAAGUGCUAAUAUGUAAGAUUGUAAAAUUUAAAGAUGAUGCUAAUGUGUAAAAAAAAAGGUCUUUGCUUGUUGAGUAAAAAGACAGAUGGUUCCUGA